rnacentral:rRNA from 1 species
AUGAACGCUGGCGGCGUGCCUAAUACAUGCAAGUCGAACGAAUCUCUUUUAGAGAUGAGUGGCGAACGGGUGAGUAAUACAUAGGUAACCUGCCCCUGUGCGGGGGAUAACAGGAGGAAACUCCUGCUAAUACCGCAUAGCCAUGAGCACCGCAUGGAGCUCAUGCCAAAUAUCCUUUAUGGGAUAGCGCAGGGAUGGACCUAUGGCGCAUUAGCUGGUUGGCGGGGCAACGGCCCACCAAGGCAACGAUGCGUAGCCGGCCUGAGAGGGCGGACGGCCACAUUGGGACUGAGACACGGCCCAGACUCCUACGGGAGGCAGCAGUAGGGAAUUUUCGGCAAUGGGGGAAACCCUGACCGAGCAACGCCGCGUGAGCGAAGAAGGCCUUCGGGUCGUAAAGCUCUGUUGUAAAGGAAGAACGGCGCAUACAGGAAAUGGUAUGCGAGUGACGGUACUUUACCAGAAAGCCACGGCUAACUACGUGCCAGCAGCCGCGGUAAUACGUAGGUGGCGAGCGUUAUCCGGAAUCAUUGGGCGUAAAGAGGGAGCAGGCGGCCGCAAGGGUCUGUGGUGAAAGACCGAAGCUAAACUUCGGUAAGCCAUGGAAACCGGGCGGCUAGAGUGCGGAAGAGGAUCGUGGAAUUCCAUGUGUAGCGGUGAAAUGCGUAGAUAUAUGGAGGAACACCAGUGGCGAAGGCGACGGUCUGGGCCGCAACUGACGCUCAUUCCCGAAAGCGUGGGGAGCAAAUAGGAUUAGAUACCCUAGUAGUCCACGCCGUAAACGAUGGUCACUAAGUGUCGGGGGUCAAACCCCGGUGCUGCAGUCAACGCAAUAAGUGACCCGCCUGAGUAGUACGUUCGCAAGAAUGAAACUCAAAGGAAUUGACGGAAGG